rnacentral:rRNA from 1 species
AACGAACGCUGGCGGCAUGCCUAACACAUGCAAGUCGAACGAGACCUUCGGGUCUAGUGGCGCACGGGUGCGUAACGCAUGGGAACCUGCCCUUAGGUUCGGAAUAACUCCCCGAAAGGGGUGCUAAUACCGGAUAAUGUCUUCGGACCAAAGAUUUAUCGCCUUUGGAUGGGCCCGCGUUGGAUUAGCUAGUUGGUAGGGUAAAAGCAUACCAAGGCGACGAUCCAUAGCUGGUCUGAGAGGAUGACCAGCCACACUGGGACUGAGACACGGCCCAGACUCCUACGGGAGGCAGCAGUGGGGAAUAUUGGACAAUGGGCGAAAGCCUGAUCCAGCAAUGCCGCGUGAGUGAGGAAGGCCUUAGGGUUGUAAAGCUCUUUUACCCGGGAUGAUAAUGACAGUACCGGGAGAAUAAGCUCCGGCUAACUCCGUG